GUGUGUAUACGAUCGAUCAGGGGCAGAGGGUGAGGUGAAACCCUAGUUUCACCAAAAUCCAUCAAAUUGAACGGGGAUUGAAGGGCUAAACUAAUGCAUGAACCAAGAUUUUCGAUCACUUUAGCGUUUCUACCAUCAUGAACGUGUCAAGGAGAGGUCAAGCAUAGGAGGAUAACGGGUCAAGAUAAGGUAAGGUGACAAAUACACUUAUUGGAGUACUCGAGGUAUGGGAUCGUUGGCUUCAUGAAGAAAUGGAGCUGGAUUUGGAUAAGAGUAUUUAAGAAAGCGCUUGGACAAUUCCACGACUACUUUAUAGAAUUCUCUACGAAAUUCUAUUAUAUAGUUUAAUGUUGUAUGGUAUGUUAAUGACUAAUGGUUUGGUUGUACGUGGUGUCCACAGGUAUCACUUGGGUUUUCUCUACAUUUAUUGAAGUGAAGCGGACUUAGUUCGAGUUGAGAGCAAGGAUUGUACGGGGAGAAUGGUCACAUAGUGUAACUCAUAUAGGUUUUGAAGUAUUAAUGUUAUAAAACGUUAUAAAUCCGUUUUAAUGAAUAUAUGGCAUUUCGCAUUUGAACCUUCAUGUGUUUGAUAUGUCUAUUAAAGAACGAAAUUUUUGGGCU